rnacentral:tRNA from 1 species
GCGAACAUCGUAUAGUGGUUAUUACUCUAGCUUCCCAAGCUAGUGACGCGGGUUCGAUUCCCGUUGUUCGCU